GAGUAUUCAUUCAUUCAUUCAGAAGUUGGAAUGGUACAGAGAAGAUUAGCAGGGCCCCUGUGCAAGGAGCAAAUUUCUAGUGUUCUGUAUUAAAAAAAAAAU